GACGAACGCUGGCGGCGUGCUUAACACAUGCAAGUCGAACGGUGAAGGGGAGCUUGCUCCCCGGAUCAGUGGCGAACGGGUGAGUAACACGUGGGCAACCUGCCCCAGACUUCGGGAUAACGCUUCGAAAGAGGUGCUAAUACCGGACACGAACUCCUUGGGCAUCCUGGGAGUUGGAAAGUUUUUCGGUCUGGGAUGGGCCCGCGGCCUAUCAGCUUGUUGGUGAGGUAACGGCUCACCAAGGCGACGACGGGUAGCCGGCCUGAGAGGGCGACCGGCCACACUGGGACUGAGACACGGCCCAGACUCCUACGGGAGGCAGCAGUGGGGAAUAUUGCGCAAUGGGCGAAAGCCUGACGCAGCAACGCCGCGUGAGGGAUGACGGCCUUCGGGUUGUAAACCUCUUUCAGCAGGGAAGAAGCGAAAGUGACGGUACCUGCAGAAGAAGCACCGGCUAACUACGUGCCAGCCGCCGCAGUAAUAC
rnacentral:rRNA from 1 species